rnacentral:tRNA from 1 species
AUUUGAAUAGUUUAAUUAAAAUGUUGGUUUGUGAGAUCAAAGAUGUAUAUAAUAUAUUUUGAAUA